UACAGAGGGUGCAAGCGUUGUUCGGAAUUAUUGGGCGUAAAGCGCGUGUAGGCGGCUAUGUAAGUUGGGUGUGAAAGCCCUCGCUUAACCGAGGAAGUGCGCCCAAAACUGCAUUGGCUUGAGUACCGGAGAGGGUGGCGGAAUUCCCGGUGUAGAGGUGAAAUUCGUAGAUAUCGGGAGGAACACCAGCGGCGAAGGCGGCCACCUGGACGGAUACUGACGCGUGAGACG
rnacentral:rRNA from 1 species